UACGAAGGGUGCAAGCGUUAAUCGGAAUUACUGGGCGUAAAGGGUGCGUAGGCGGUUGUUUAAGUCUGUCGUGAAAUCCCCGGGCUCAACCUGGGAAUGGCGAUGGAUACUGGGCAGCUAGAGUGUGUCAGAGGAUGGUGGAAUUCCCGGUGUAGCGGUGAAAUGCGUAGAGAUCGGGAGGAGCAUCAGUGGCGAAGGCGGCCAUCUGGGACAACACUGACGCUGAAGCACGAAAGCGUGGGGAGCAAACAGG
rnacentral:rRNA from 1 species